rnacentral:rRNA from 1 species
AGAGUUUGAUCCUGGCUCAGAACGAACGCUGGCGGCAGGCCUAAAACAUGCAAGUCGAACGAACCUUCGGGUUAGUGGCGCACGGGUGCGUAACGCGUGGGAAUAUACCUCUUGGUGCGGAACAACGUCUGGAAACGGACGCUAAUACCGCAUAAUAUCUACGGAUCAAAGAUUUAUCGCCAAGAGAUUAGCCCGCGUCUGAUUAGCUAGUUGGUGAGGUAAUGGCUCACCAAGGCUACGAUCAGUAGCUGGUCUGAGAGGAUGAUCAGCCACACUGGAACUGAGACACGGUCCAGACUCCUACGGGAGGCAGCAGUUAGGAAUAUUGGACAAUGGGGGAAACCCUGAUCCAGCCAUGCCGCGUGUGUGAAGAAGGCCUUAGGGUUGUAAAGCACUUUCAGCUGUGAAGAUAAUGACAGUAGCAGCAGAAGAAGCUCCGGCUAAAUUCGUGCCAGCAGCCGCGGUAAUACGAAUGGAGCGAGCGUUGUUCGGAAUCACUGGGCGUAAAGGGUGCGCAGGCGGUCAUGAAAGUCAGAAGUGAAAUCCCAGGGCUUAACCCUGGAAUGGCUUUUGAAACUCCAUGACUAGAGUAUUGGAGAGGUUGGCGGAGUUCCGAGUGUAGAGGUGAAAUUCGCAGGUAUUCGGAGGAACACCAAUGGCGUAGGCAGCCAACUGGACAAUUACUGACGCUCAUGCACGAAAGCGUGGGGAUCAAACAGGAUUAGAUACCCUGGUAGUCCACGCCCUAAACGAUGUGUGCUAGUUGUCGGAUCCUUUAGGAUUCGGUGACGCAGCUAACGCUUUAAGCACACCGCCUGGGGAGUACGGUCGCAAGAUUAAAACUCAAAGGAAUUGACGGGGACCCGCACAAGCGGUGGAGCAUGUUGUUUAAUUCGAAACCACGCGAAGAACCUUACCUACACUUGACAUGCCCUCUAGGACUUUCAGAGAUGAUUGUUUUCAGUUCGGCUGGGAGGAGCACAGGUGCUGCAUGGCUGUCGUCAGCUUGUGUCGUGAGAUGUUGGGUUAAGUCCCGCAACGAGCGCAACCCUUAUCGUAUGUUGCCAGCAUUAAGUUGGGCACUCAUGCGAGACUGCCGGUGAUAAGCCGGAGGAAGGCGGGGACGACGUCAAGUCAUCAUGCCCCUUACGUGUAGGGCUACAAACGUGCUACAAUGGCGUUAACAAUGGGCAGCGAGGUCGCGAGGCCAAGCUAAUCCUUAAAUAACGUCUCAGUUCAGAUUGUACUCUGCAACUCGAGUACAUGAAGUUGGAAUCGCUAGUAAUCGCAAAUCAGCAUGUUGCGGUGAAUACGUUCCCGGGUCUUGUACACACCGCCCGUCACACCAUGGGAGUUGGUUUUACCCGAAGGCCGUCGCUAACUACGGAGGCAGCGGACCACGGUAGGAUCAAUGACUGGGGUGAAGUCGUAACAAGGUA